UACAGAGGUCUCAAGCGUUGCUCGGAUUCAUUGGGCGUAAAGGGUGCGUAGGUGGCAUGGUAAGUCGGAUGUGAAAUCCCGGGGCUCAACCCCGGAACUGCAUUCGAUACUGCUGCGCUAGAGUACUGGAGAGGAGAUUGGAAUUUACGGUGUAGCAGUGAAAUGCGUAGAUAUCGUAAGGAAGACCAGUGGCGAAGGCGGAUCUCUGGACAGUUACUGACACUGAGGCACGAAGGCCAGGGGAGCAAACGGG
rnacentral:rRNA from 1 species